CCAACCUAGACACCCCAGGUCACUCUCCCUGAGCUCUAUCCAGAUGAUAUAAGGGAGCACAGGGCUUUGUCCCAUAGUGUGCAGCUCUUUUCCACAGUGCUGGAGGAGGAACAGGGACUUGUGCCGGAACCUGCUGACACAACUUCUCACAGUCCUUUGGGCAGUUACUGAGAAGACAACCCAGAAAACAGUG
rnacentral:snoRNA from 1 species